GACGAACGCUGGCGGCGUGCUUAACACAUGCAAGUCGAACGGAAAGGCCCUGCUUGCAGGGUACUCGAGUGGCGAACGGGUGAGUAACACGUGGGUGAUCUGCCCUGCACUUCGGGAUAAGCCUGGGAAACUGGGUCUAAUACCGGAUAGGAGCCAUUUUUAGUGUGAUGGUUGGAAAGUUUUUUCGGUGUAGGAUGAGCUCGCGGCCUAUCAGCUUGUCGGUGGGGUAAUGGCCUACCAAGGCGGCGACGGGUAGCCGGCCUGAGAGGGUGGACGGCCACAUUGGGACUGAGAUACGGCCCAGACUCCUACGGGAGGCAGCAGUGGGGAAUAUUGCACAAUGGGCGCAAGCCUGAUGCAGCGACGCCGCGGGGGGGAGGACGGCCUUCGGGUUGUAAACUCCUUUCGCUAGGGACGAAGCUUUUUGUGACGGUACCUAGAUAAGAAGCACCGGCUAACUACGUG
rnacentral:rRNA from 1 species